rnacentral:rRNA from 1 species
GAUGAACGCUGGCGGCGUGCCUAAUACAUGCAAGUCGAGCGAACGGACGAGAAGCUUGCUUCUCUGAUGUUAGCGGCGGACGGGUGAGUAACACGUGGAUAACCUACCUAUAAGACUGGGAUAACUUCGGGAAACCGUAGCUAAUACCGGAUAAUAUUUUGAACCGCAUGGUUCAAAAGUGAAAGACGGUCUUGCUGUCACUUAUAGAUGGAUCCGCGCUGCAUUAGCUAGUUGGUAAGGUAACGGCUUACCAAGGCAACGAUGCAUAGCCGACCUGAGAGGGUGAUCGGCCACACUGGAACUGAGACACGGUCCAGACUCCUACGGGAGGCAGCAGUAGGGAAUCUUCCGCAAAGGGCGAAAGCCUGACGGAGCAACACCGCGUGAGUGAUGAAGGUCUUCGGAUCGUAAAACUCUGUUAUUAGGGAAGAACAUAUGUGUAAGUAACUGUGCACAUCUUGACGGUACCUAAUCAGAAAGCCACGGCUAACUACGUG